rnacentral:rRNA from 1 species
GAUGAACGCUGGCGGCGUGCCUAACACAUGCAAGUCGAACGGAGAUUACGGACGGAAGUUUUCGGAUGGAAGACUGUAAUUCUUAGUGGCGGACGGGUGAGUAACGCGUGGGCAACCUGCCCUAUACAGGGGGAUAGCAGCUGGAAACGGCUGGUAAGACCGCAUAAGUCGGCGAGACCGCAUGGUUUUGCCGGGAAAUGAGCAAUCAGGUAUAGGAUGGGCCCGCGUCCGAUUAGCCAGUUGGCAGGGUAAAAGCCUACCAAAGCAACGAUCGGUAGCCGGACUGAGAGGUCGGACGGCCACAUUGGGACUGAGACACGGCCCAAACUCCUACGGGAGGCAGCAGUGGGGAUAUUGCACAAUGGAGGAAACUCUGAUGCAGCGACGCCGCGUGAGUGAAGAAGUAUUUCGGUAUGUAAAGCUCUAUCAGCAGGGAAGAUGAUGACGGUACCUGACUAAGAAGCCCCGGCUAACUACGUG